GCUUCUCUCUCUCUCGCUCGCCUCGCCGCAACGCAUCCGAUCGAGUUCUGUCUGCCACAACCACACCACCUCACCGUGUCUACUGGAGCAGGUGGGUAGCGACUAGCGAGCGAGGAACCGAAAAGCGCGAGGGGGUUUCGGUCCGAUGGCGGGCGCCGGCGAGGACGGGGAGCGCAGGAUCGGGGUGGCGAUGGACUACUCGGAUAGCAGCAAGAAGGCGCUGGACUGGGCCAUCGACAACCUGCUCCGCCGGGGGGACACCCUCGUCGUCCUCCACGUCCUGCACCACGGCGGGGAGGAGGCCCAGAACACACUCUGGGCCAAGUCCGGAUCCCCGCCGAUCCCUCUCUCCGAGUUCCGGGAGCCCAAGGUGAUGCAGCACUACGGCGUGAAACCCGACGCCGAGGUGCUCGACGCGAUCGACACGGCGGCGCGUCAGAAGGAGCUGAAGGUGGUGGCUAAGCUGUACUGGGGAGACGCCAGGGAGAAGCUCUGCGAUGCCGUCGAGGAGCUCAAGAUCGACACGCUAGUCAUGGGUAGCCGCGGCCUUGGCCCGAUUCAGAGGAUUCUGCUUGGAAGCGUGACAAACUACGUGCUGUCAAACGCAUCAUGCCCAGUGACUGUUGUCAAGGGAAAGUAGCGGCCAGGCCGGCCUACCAGUGAUGUGAUUGAGGAUGCAACUUGUGUUGGUUAAGCACUUUGUUCGGUGUUGGUACUGUAUUGAAUAAAAUGGAAUUUGAGGAUUGACAUCCUUCUGGCUGUGUGGUUUGACGUAGCAAGUUACUGGUUAGUCUAGUCAGCUUACGGCUUACAACCCAAAGGUCACUGGUUCGUUGUGCGAACUACGGAAGAGGAAGAGCGUAAGCCCCGGCUAUGUUAAAUGCU